UCUAGAACUCGAGAUAUGGGCUGAACACUAAACAGUGUCUGGUCUGCAGAACAGAUUCUGACUUCUUUGUUGUUGCUACAAUUUGAACUUGAAAACGGUCAUUUUGAAUCUUAAACUCUCAUGAAAGUUUUAGGCCUAUGUCUUAGCUUUCUAUC
rfam:Populus trichocarpa scaffold_2_contig_149, whole genome shotgun sequence.